ensembl:snRNA U6 U6 spliceosomal RNA
GUGCUUGCUUCAGCAGCACGUACACUAAAUUGGAACAAUCAAGAGAAGAUUAGCAUGGCCUCUCUGCAUAAGGAUGACACGCAAAUUUGUGAAGUGUUCUAUAUUAAA